UUUUAAUAUGGCAGAUUAGUGCUAUAGAUCUAAAAUCUAUAAAUAAAGUUCUCUUUUAUUAAAA
rnacentral:tRNA from 1 species